UGAUAACUAGAACAGCCCUUGAGUGACAAGUGAAGUAUGAGUCUGCAUGCAAGCCAUAUUGGUAGUAAAACUCCAGAGGGAAUAUUGUUUUUCCCUGCAAUACCACAACAAGCAAACUAAUAUACUUUUCAUAAUUAUGUCAUCUGAUGCAACAACUUUUAACAGCACUGAAUCUUCUUUCUUCCAUAAGGCCAAAUCAGAUUGUACAACAAGAGAGAUGCUGAGCUGCAAGAUGCCAAUCAAGCUUAUAAAAACAGCGGUAAUAGAAAUAAGCAUCAUGAAUGUUCCAUCAAACCAAAAUAUUCAAACGAAAGUAGAAACACUUGGAGCAUCAUUCCUUUCCUGAUGCAAAUGACAAGAUGUUUUGACAAUUAUCAGAAAAAGCCAAGUACAGGCGGUACCUCACUGUUCCAAUCAAAAUCUUCACCAGGUUCUUCAGAAAAGCUUUUCACCACACCCACUUUAUGACCAUUACUCAACCCAUGAUCAUCACAGGCACACUAACCUGGGAUUGUGUUUUGAGGAAAAGCUUAGGGCAGAUCUUCUUCCUUUUCUUGCAUGAACCUCAGUUCAGAGUUCUGAGAGCCAGCCAAACUCUUUCGGUCUUAGAAGCCAAGGUCUCUCAAGCCUCUAGCUGGUCUCUCUCUUCAGAAGCCUGCCCACUUUGCUGCUCUUCUUCUCCUAUUAAACUGGCCCUGGCAGCUUUUCGGCAUUACUGUACAGGGAAGGAUUAUUGACUGAAGUCUGUUUCUCUUAGAGGUAGGAGCUUGAUAGCUGUUUAUUUGCAAAGUGACAGUACUGCCUCUUGACAAUGUUAAUGCUGCCUUCAGAGGCAAGGCAGCGAGCAGGAAUUUCUAUUCUUUCUUUCUUUAUUUGUAUGGAUAUAAGCAGCUGGACUCUGGGGGGGCAAGUUAAAAUGUCAAAGGAACUGUAAAAUACACUUUAUUUUUGUAUUAAUGCUUAUGUAACUGAACUUGAAAUAAAUCCAAGAAUACUAUAAAGAUGGUCAACAUGUAUGUAAGUAGUAUACAUGGUUUUAUUGGUCCUCAAGUUUGUUUUAGGUAAAAAGAUGCUCAACUGCAUAAAUACUGAAA